CGUCGUGUGGCAUGUCAAAGUGCUGCCAAUGAAAAGACGCGGGUCGUCAUCGGGAGGCUUCACGUAAACGCACCGUGCAAUGGCAGGGCCAUGAGGCAAGGCACACAACUCAGAGAGAGUGAGCCACGCUAGCCAAAGGCUGUCAUUCAUAGCGUCCUGACUACUAGCAGUCACUCUAGGCACCGAGAGUACACUGAGUUGCAAUUCCUUUAAAAGCUGAAACUCGUAAUGCUACAAUGAUCAGAUAGCACAUGAGGCACAGGGAUUCACCCAAGGAUGUCUGAAACUCCUUGAGAGAACACGUUAAGGACUCAGGGACCUGAGUUGUCUUCUCCACUCUGGCCUCUACUGACCCUUCCUUGCUACGGAAUUAUUCCAGCCUCCACUGUUUGCUUGGAAUGAAUAUAACAUUAAAAUGGAAACCUGGACUCUGUCCAAUGUUAGCUUGUGCCAGCUGAAACUGUAUCAACGGGAGAAAAACGAUGCUGUAAUUUUCUUGUCUGGCAAAAUGUGGUAAGAAAUCCAUGCAGAAAAUGCAGUAAUAUUCAUUAAAAUGAAGAA